rnacentral:rRNA from 1 species
GGUAUGGGAUGAGCUUGCGUCCGAUUAGCUAGUUGGCGGGGCAACGGCCCACCAAGGCGACGAUCGGUAGCCGGCCUGAGAGGGUGAUCGGCCACAUUGGGACUGAGAUACGGCCCAGACUCCUACGGGAGGCAGCAGUAGGGAAUAUUGCACAAUGGGGGGAACCCUGAUGCAGCAACGCCACGUGUGGGAAGAAGCAUUUCGGUGUGUAAACCACUGUCGUGAGGGAAUAAGGCCUGUCCUCGGGCAGGAUUGAAUGUACCUCGAAAGGAAGCACCGGCAAACUUCGUGCCAGCAGCCGCGGUAAUACGAGGGGUGCAAGCGUUGUUCGGAAUCACUGGGCGUAAAGGGAGCGUAGGCGGAGAUUCAAGCGGAUUGUACAAUCCCGGGGCCCAACCCCGGACCUGCAGUCCGAACUGGAUUUCUUGGAUAGUUCAGGGGCAGGC